UGCAUAUCAAUAAGCGGAGGAAAAGAAACUAACAAGGAUUCCCCUAGUAACGGCGAGUGAAGCGGGAAGAGCUCAAAUUUGAAAUCUGGCGGCAUCCUGUCGUCCGAGUUGUAAUCUAUAGAAGUGUUUUCCGCGUCGGACCAUGUACAAGUCCCUUGGAACAGGGCGUCAUAGAGGGUGAGAAUCCCGUCCUUGACAUGAUCUCCGGUGCUAUGUGAUACACUUUCAACGAGUCGAGUUGUUUGGGAAUGCAGCUCAAAAUGGGUGGUGAAUUCCAUCUAAAGCUAAAUAUUGGCGAGAGACCGAUAGCGAACAAGUACCGUGAGGGAAAGAUGAAAAGCACUUUGGAAAGAGAGUUAAACAGUACGUGAAAUUGUUGAAAGGGAAACGAUUGAAGUCAGUCAUGCUCUUUGGGUUAAGCCUUUCGGGGUGUAUUCCAUUGAGUGGGGUCAACAUCAGUUUUGACCGCUGGAAAAAGGCACGAGGAAGGUAGCACUCUCGGGUGAACUUAUAGCCUCGCGUCAUAUACAGUGGUUGGGACUGAGGAACGCAGCAUGCCUUAUGGCCGGGAUUCGUCCACGUACAUGCUUAGGAUGUUGACAUAAUGGCUUUAAACGACCCGUCUUGAAACACGGAC
rnacentral:rRNA from 1 species